rnacentral:snRNA from 1 species
AUACUUGUAAAUGUCUUGCAAAAAGCUGGUUUUCCUAGAGUGAGGCUUAUCCAUUGCAUUCUGGUUGGGCUGACUCCUUCUAUUUCCUCAAAUGCAGGAGACUCAACUGUAUAAUUUGUGGUAGUGGGAGACCACAUUCCAGCUUUCCUU